rnacentral:lncRNA from 1 species
UUCCCCAUAUUUCUCUCUUCCGGACGUUCUUCGUCCUCCGACCCCACCUGAAGGCUCGAGGGUGGUGGUUCUUCAAUCCUCGAAAGGGUCUUUCAUUCAUCACCGAUCUUCCAUCGUCGAUCCACGGGUGGAAGAACCAAUUUUUCUUUGCUUCCUCUUCGCUACCUUGGGGAUUUUCUUCCCGCUGGGGCGACUCUCGGACUCAGCCAAACGA